rnacentral:rRNA from 1 species
AGUUCGAUCAUGGCUCAGACUGAGCGCUGGUGGAUACACAUGCAAGUCGAACGGCACGGACUUUGGUCCGGUGAAGAGCAAGAACGGGUGAGUAAUGACGGAACGUGCCUAGUAGCGGGAUGACUACGCGAAAGCGUAGCUAAUACCGCGCUGCCUCUUCGGGGAAAGUGGGGGACCUUCGGGCCUCGCACUAUUAGAGCGUGGCCGAUAUCGGAUUAGCUAGUUGGUGGGGUACACUACCACCAAGGCGACGAUCCGUAGCUGGUUUGAGAGGACGACCAGCCACACUGGGACUGGAGACACGCCCAGACUCCUACGGGAGGCAGCAGUGGGGAAUUUUGGACAAUGGGGGAACCCUGAUCCAGCCAUCCCGCGUGCGAUGAAGGCCUUCGGGUUGUAAAAGCACUUUGGCAGGAAGAAACGGCACGGAUAAUACUCCCGCAACUGACGGUACCUGAGAAUAAGCACCGCCAACUACGUGCCAGCAGCCGCGGCAAUAUGGGAAAGCGUUAAUCGGAAUUACUGGGCGUAAAGCGUGCGCAGGCGGUUCGGAAAGAAAGAUGAAAUCUCAGAGCUUAACUUUUGGAACUGGGUAUUUUUAACUACCGAGCUAGAGUGUGUCAGAGGGAGGUGGAAUUCCGCGUGUAUAGAAUGCGUAGAGGAGAACACUGACAGUGAAGGCAGCCUCCGAUAACACUGACGCUCAUGCACGAAAGCGUGGGGAGCAAACAGGAUUAGAUACCUCUGGUAGUCCACGCCCCCAACGAUGUCAACUAGCUGUUGGGGCCUUCGGGCCUCGGUAGCGCAGCUAACGCGUGAAGUUGACCGCCUGGGGAGUACGGUCGCAAGAUUAAAACCCAAAGGAAUUGACGAUUCCGGCACAAGGUGAUGAUGUGGAUUAAUUGAUGCAACGCGAAAACCUUACCUACCCUUGACAUGUCUGGAAUCCUGAAGAGAUUUGGGAGUGCUCGCAAGAGAACCUUGAACACAGGUGCUGCAUGGCUGCUUUUCGCCUGCCGUGAGAUGUUGGGUUAAGUCCCGCAACGAGCGCAACCCCUUGUCAUUAGCGUUGUUGAAGUGGGCACUUGAAUGAGACUGCCGGUGACAAACUGGAGGAAGGUGGGGAUGACGCUAGUCCUCAUGUCUCUUAUGGGUAGGGUCAUACGUCAUACAAUGGUCGGGACAGAGAAUGCCAACCCGCGAGGGGGAGCCAAUCCCAGAAACCCGAUCGUAGUCCGGAUCAGCAGUCUGCAACUCGACUGCGAAGUCGGAAUCGCUAGUAAUCGCGGAUCAGCAUGUCGCGGUGAAUAUUCCCGGGUCUUGUACACACCGCCCGUCACACCAUGGGAGUGGGUUUUACCAGAAGUAGUUAUACUAACCGUAAGGAGGGCGAUUACCAUUGUGGUAUCUGGCGACUGGGGUGUCGUAACAAGGUAG